rnacentral:rRNA from 1 species
UCAGCCGACCUCAGAUCAGGUAAGAC